rnacentral:snRNA from 1 species
GAGCUAUUUUGGCAGCACAUAUACUCAAAUUGGAACAGUGCAGAGGUUAGCAUGGCCCCUGUGCAAGGGCAACAUGCGAAGCGUUCCGUAUCUAA